GAUCUUUUGGCUAGGAUACCUCGGGAACUGAGGCUAAUUCCGGAUACUACUUUCAUGUUGGAACACAGAAAGUUGGAAACGGUCCGCCGCCGGAGGACGUGACUGCGGCCGAUUAGGUAGACGGUGGGGUAACGGCCCACCGUGCCGAUAAUUGGUACGGGUUGUGAGAGCAAGAACCCGGAGACGGUAUCUCACACAAGAUACCGGGCCCUACGGGGCGCAGCAGGCGCGAAACCUUUACACUGCACGCCAAUGCGAUAAGGGGACCCCGAGUGCGAGGGCAUACAGUCCUCGCUUUUCGUGACCGUAAGAAGGUCU
rnacentral:rRNA from 1 species